GGCAGCACCUAUGACUCAUCCUUAUGACAUAUAUUACUACUCACUAAUAAGAGGGAAUAGUUGGCACCUCAAGGUCAACAUGUGUGCUUAUAUGAAAAUAAAAAUUAAAAUGAGGAUAUUUUUAUCAUUUUAAAACUUUCACAGCUAUACAUUUGAUUAUAUAGCUUAACACGUGGAUUCCAAUUUUAGCGCGUGGAAGUACCGCUGGUUUCUCAGCUAAAUCUCGAACAAUCGUGUAGAGGUAACACCAUCUUCAAACUUAAGAAAAAUCCAGAAUGUCUGUGCUCUCCGUCUUUCCUCUUGUUGUCAAGUGUGCACUUCAGUGUGUUUUCUUCCGUCAAUAGUAUUUUCUGGUGGGUACCUCUUUUGUCAUCUCUUUGAUUCAUCUUUAUCCAUAUUUCUCUUGAGGAGUAUCAACGGAUUUUGGUCUCUAGGUGUUUGAGAAAAUUCUUCAAUGAAUUACCAUUUCUGUUAAAUUUCUUAUGCAUAUUUCUGUCUUCUCUAUUUUUUAACUGUUUGUGAUUCAUCUCUAUGUGUAUUUCUCUUGAGGAGUAUCAAUGGUUUUUGUUCUGAUUUCGCUUGGGCUAAAUGAUAUAAGAAUGGUUGUAAAUAAUGCUCAUGUGAUCAUCAUCUUUCUUACACAUCAAAGGUUUUGACUGCAAAAGAAUAAUUGUCGUAAUUUGUGAAGUGAUCGAUUCUGCACAAAUACAAAAAGGAUGGACAUACUUCUUAAAAUGUAUAAUGGCUUCUCUCUGUUUCCAACUUAUUCCUUCAAUGAAAAGUGUGAUAGUACUACAUGUGAUUUUUUGUUGCCUGUUUUACCUUUCUUUCUUAGUGGUUAAAGGAUCAAUUUUGGCUAAAAGGCGGAGUCUUUAUUGAGAUUUCUAUUGAUUCUUGUAACCUAAAUCUGUAGUAAUUUUAGAGAUUGAAGUUUUCAUUAUGUAGUCUGCAAUUUCUUGGCUGAUAUUAAGUCAUAAAGGAUCACUUGGCAUAAAAGUUACUUAUUUAUUGGGAAUACAAUUUCUUUUCUGGGAUUACAAUUUGUUAUGGCAAUUUUCUAACUAAAUGCGUAGUUAAUGUAGAGGUUGAAGUGUCUCUGUGUAACUUGCACUGUCGUGGAUGCAUACCAGUUUUAUAUUGCUGCUAUGUAUGUAUAUAUGUAUGUAUGUAUAUGUGUUUGUGUGCGUAUAUAUGUCUCUGCUUGAUCUAUUGUUUUACAUUUUUUGUUCUUGUUGUUAUUGUUACUGUAGUCUGGUUAUUCUUUGCCUGCGCAAACUACUAUUACCAAAGAUCUGAAGCUCACUGUUUCUUAGUUCUCUUUGUUCGGUUCGUUAUCUAAUGUGGGUGCUAUGGUCGGAGCAAUAUCUAGUGGUCAAAUUGCCGAGUACAUUGGGGGAAAGGGGUAAGAUAAUGACAUCACUAGGAAUUCUGCUUCCCCUUUUCUUUUGCUUGCCUAUUUUGUACAAGUGGAUACUCGAGUUUCUUGUCCUAUUUGCAGUCUUUAAUGAUAGCUGCUAUACCUAACAUCAUUGGUUAGCUUUCCAUCUCAUUUGCCAAAGUAAGACAAUUCUGCUUUGAUGCUAAUGAAAAUAUUACUACUGGUCAUAUAAUGCGUCAAACUUACACUAUUGCAAUAUUUCUGCAUCCCUUUAGCUGUCGAGAUAGUGUCUGGUAAUGGCCACAGUUGCAGUUGUCAGAUAUGGUUCUGGUUCACCAAUGUAAAGUGAAAAUAUCGAAGAAAGGGUAUCAAGGAAGAUGAUAAGGCCCUGCCCCCUGUAGUGCAGUAUGUGGAGACUUGGGCACCUGGGGACAUUGUGGAGGUAUAUAAUGACUGCUCUUGGAAAGUUGCCAUCGUGCUCAGUAUGUUACCACGUGAUCGUUAUUUGGUGAGACUACUUGGUUGCUCUCUGAAACUUAGCAUUCAUAUAUCAGGCAUGAGAGAUCGACAAAAUUGGAAAGAUGGCAAAUGGAUUUUGAUCAGAAAGGAUUGUGAUCAAGCUGCAACUUGAUGCCCAUACUAAAGUUCUUGGAGAAACUGAUGGUUUAGCCACUGAAGGAAAAAAUAGAGGACAAGAGUCUUGUUUAAUCUCAUCAAGAUCCCUAAAGAGAAUGUCUCCUUAUUGCACAUCUGGUGUUGAUUCACUUUAUGAGAAUGCUCAAAAAUUUCAAGCAAUCGAGACAGAUAAUCGCAGGCAACGAGCAGCUCUGGUGACCUAACAGGAAUUUCGUUAAUUGGUAUUGUUAAGUCCAACUCCAUUAUCCAUAAGUGUUUUCACGAAAAAUUGAUUCCUAAAGUUCUGUCGACGGCUAAUUUAUUUCACUGUUGCUAUACUUUAUUUUUCACAAUAGUUUAUCAUCUUGUUAACUAACUGCUGCUAUCUUUUAGAUCCAUA